rnacentral:rRNA from 1 species
GACGAACGCUGGCGGCGUGCCUAAUGCAUGCAAGUCGAGCGAAGUUUUUCUGGUGCUUGCACCGGAAAAACUUAGCGGCGAACGGGUGAGUAACACGUAAAGAACCUGCCUCAUAGACUGGGACAACUAUUGGAAACGAUAGCUAAUACCGGAUAACAGCAUUAACUGCAUGGUUGAUGUUUAAAAGUUGGUUUUGCUAACACUAUGAGAUGGCUUUGCGGUGCAUUAGCUAGUUGGUGGGGUAAAGGCCUACCAAGGCGACGAUGCAUAGCCGACCUGAGAGGGUGAUCGGCCACACUGGGACUGAGACACGGCCCAGACUCCUACGGGAGGCAGCAGUAGGGAAUCUUCCGCAAUGGGCGAAAGCCUGACGGAGCAACGCCGCGUGAGUGAAGAAGGAUUUCGGUUCGUAAAGCUCUGUUGUUAGGGAAGAAUGAUUGUGUAGUA